rnacentral:rRNA from 1 species
GACAUAGGUGGCGAACGUUAUCCGGAAUUAUUGGGCGUAAAGGAUGCGUAGCUGGUAUAAUAAGUUAUUGGUGGUAAAUCGAGGCUCAACCUCGUGGAAGCUGGUAAUACUGUUAUACUCGAGGAUAGGAGAGGUUAACGGAACUCCCUGUGGAGCGGUGAAAUGCGUUGAGAUCGGAAGGAACGCCCGUGGCGAAAGCGAGGCCCUGGACCCUUACUGACGCUGAGACGCGAAAGCCAGGGGAGCGAACGGG